AACGAACGCUGGCGGCAGGCCUAACACAUGCAAGUCGAGCGGACCCUUCGGGGUUAGCGGCGGACGGGUGAGUAACGCGUGGGAAUAUGCCCUUCUCUACGGAAUAGUCCUGGGAAACUGGGGGUAAUACCGUAUACGCCCUUUGGGGGAAAGAUUUAUCGAGGCAGGAUUAGCCCGCGUUGGAUUAGGUAGUUGGUGGGGUAAUGGCCUACCAAGCCGACGAUCCAUAGCUGGUUUGAGAGGAUGAUCAGCCACACUGGGACUGAGACACGGCCCAGACUCCUACGGGAGGCAGCAGUGGGGAAUCUUAGACAAUGGCGGCAACCCUGAUCUAGCCAUGCCGCGUGAGUGAUGAAGGCCUGAGGGUUGUAAAGCUCUUUCAGCUGUGAAGAUAAUGACGGUACCAGCAGAAGAAGCCCCGGCUAACUCCGUG
rnacentral:rRNA from 1 species